UAUUGAGCCGAAACACGAUGGAGUUAUGAUGAGUAGAUUAGGAUAGAUCAGGAGUUCUGGUGACCACCUCCUGACUUCAUCAUGAGAACCUGGACCUCAUCUAGAUCGAUGGUGCUCGUCGGGGCAAAUCUAUUGAGCCCAAACACGAUGGAGUUAUGAUGAGUAGAUUA